CCUCCUGAGCACAGCGAUAAAGUGACAAACAUUUAUAUAAAUCCGACAAGAAAUUUGGAAGUUGACGGCGCGUCUCGGAGGU
rnacentral:tRNA from 1 species